rnacentral:rRNA from 1 species
UACGAAGGGGGCUAGCGUUGCUCGGAAUUACUGGGCGUAAAGGGCGCGUAGGCGGACAGUUAAGUCAGAGGUGAAAGCCCAGGGCUCAACCCUGGAAUAGCCUUUGAUACUGGCUGUCUUGAGUGCGGGAGAGGUGUGUGGAACUCCGAGUGUAGAGGUGAAAUUCGUAGAUAUUCGGCGGAACACCAGUGGCGAAGGCGACUCACUGGCCCGAUACUGACGCUGAGGCGCGAAAGCGUGGGGAGCAAACAGG